CCAACUACUACCCCCUCCUUUCACCAUAUAUAUUUUAAAAAUCUUGAUUUAAAUUUAAAAAAUAAAAUCAAACUGUUUCCCAGUAAUUUAAGAUUUCACAAAAUUUUAUAAGAUUAUUUUAAAAUUUUAAUUUUAUAUUAUUGAUAAUUUGAUUGUCAUACCAAACAUGACAAUCAAGAUUUCUAGUAAUUUUACUGCAAUAUUAUCAACAUACACCGAACAUAAUAAUCA
rnacentral:lncRNA from 1 species